rnacentral:rRNA from 1 species
AAAAAACAUGUCCUUUUGAAUUUUAUUUAAGGUCUGACCUGCCCUAUGAGAAAUUAAAUGGCCGCGGUAUUUUAACCGUGCAAAGGUAGCAUAGUCACUUGUCUCUUAAUUGGAGGCUUGAAUGAAGGGUUGGACGAGAUAUAAACUUUCUUUGUUAUAAUUAGUUGAAUUUGAUUUUUGAGUCAAAAGGCUUAAAUUUAUUUAUAGGACGAGAAGACCCUAUAGAAUUUUAUAUUUUUAUAUUAAUAAUUUAUUUAUUUAUAAUUAAAUUUUUUGUAUAAAAAUAUUUUGUUGGGGCGAUGGGAAGAUUUUUUUAACUCUUUUUUAUUUUAUACAUUGAUAUAUGUUUUUUUGAUCCUUUUUUAGAGAUUAAAAGAUUAAAUUACCUUAGGGAUAACAGCGUAAUUCUUUUGGAGAGUUCUUAUCGAUAAAGGAGUUUGCGACCUCGAUGUUGAAUUAAGAUAAGUGCCAGGGGUAGAUUUUUGGUUACUAGGUCUGUUCGACCUUUAAAUUCUUAC